rnacentral:rRNA from 1 species
UACGAAGGGGACUAGCGUUGUUCGGAAUCACUGGGCGUAAAGCGCACGUAGGCGGAUGUGUCAGUCAGGGGUGAAAGUCCCGGGGCUCAACCUCGGAACUGCCUUUGAUACAGCACGUCUCGAGUCCGGAAGAGGUGGGUGGAAUUCCUAGUGUAGAGGUGAAAUUCGUAGAUAUUAGGAAGAACACCGGUGGCGAAGGCGGCCCACUGGUCCGGUACUGACGCUGAGGUGCGAAAGCGUGGGGAGCAAACAGG